AUUGAACGCUGGCGGCAGGCCUAACACAUGCAAGUCGAGCGGAGUGGCGGACGGGGGAGUAAUUCCAAGGACUCUGACUGGUAGUGGGGGAUAACGUCCGGAAAGGGAAGCUAAUACCACAUCCUAUCAGAUGAGACUAGGUCGGAUGAGCUAGUUGGUGGGGUAAAGGCCUACCAAGGCGACGAUCCGUAACUGGUCUGAGAGGAUGAUCAGUCACACUGGAACUGAGACACGGUCCAGACUCCUACGGGAGUCAGCAGUGGGGAAUAUUGGACAAUGGGCGAAAGCCUGAUCCAGCCAUGCCGCGUGUGUGAAGAAGGUCUUCGGAUUGUAAAGCACUUUAAGUUGGGAGGCGUUACCAACAGAAUAAGCACCGGCUAACUUCGUGCCAGCAGCCGCGGUAAUAC
rnacentral:rRNA from 1 species